UGAGGGAAUAUUGGGUCAAUGGGCGAGAGCCUGAACCAGCCAAGUAGCGUGCAGGACGACGGCCCUAUGGGUUGUAAACUGCUUUUAUAAGGGAAUAAAGUGAGUCUCGUGAGACUUUUUGCAUGUACCUUAUGAAUAAGGACCGGCUAAUUCCGUGCCAGCAGCCGCGGUAAUACGGAAGGUCCGGGCGUUAUCCGGAUUUAUUGGGUUUAAAGGGAGCGUAGGCCGGAGAUUAAGCGUGUUGUGAAAUGCCGCGGCUCAACCGUGGCACUGCAGCGCGAACUGGUUUUCUUGAGUGCGCGCGACGCAGGCGGAAUUCGUGGUGUAGCGGUGAAAUGCUUAGAUAU
rnacentral:rRNA from 1 species